rnacentral:rRNA from 1 species
AUGUGCUUCCCACCGCCGCAGCGAAUGUUGCCUGACUCGAAUACUGAGGGCGGUUCAAUGGCCACUGACCGUGGCGUGCAGAUUGAGAAAGGUGCCCAGAUAGGCGACAUGAGGUCAAUGCCCUACCAGGGCAUUGGAUUGGAUUCUGCAGUUAAAAUUCCGUCCUUGAGAUCCGGAAUCGAGCGAGCAGCAAUGGCGGCCGCCCCCGCUGAAGUUCUUCCGCCGGCCAAGAGGUGGAAAAAGGACCCCAAUUGCCUGGAAACCUCACCGGUCCAUCCGGCCAAUGCGGUGACCGCAGACUGGCCCUCGCUCCCAGACGAUAUCAUCCGCCGCAUCGCCGACUCCUUCCUCGCCGCCAACGACCUAGAUUGGUACAUGGAUCUGCGCGCCGUCUGCCACAACUGGCGCUCCGCCACCGACGACCCCAGGAACAACACCUCUGACCCCCGGUUCCUCCCAUGCCGCUGGAUCAUCCUCGACGAGGUCUUCGAGAGCGACACGCGCCGCCUCUUGGUCAACACCGCCAUCGGCCGGUUCCUCCAUAAGGAGCUCCCGGCGCUCCGCGGCUACCACGUUGUCGCCACCACUCUAUGCGGCCUCUUCGUCAUGGCCGACAGGAGCGCUCCUCACGCCGCUCGUGUCUUCAACCCUCUCACCGGCGAUAUCAUCCGUUUCACGGCGCCAUGCCGCCCGAGGUGCAGUCCACACAGUUCUCACUCCCAAGACUAUGUCUUUGAUCCUAGAGUUUACAGUUUCUUCCGGAGCGCGGUCGGAGGUGGUUUGGUCGGCCGUUGGUGGGAAUUAGCCAGAACAACUGACUUGGCUCUCAAGAUCUGCAAAGUGGGGCUGUCACUUGGCAUCAAUCUGUCGAAGUUUUUUUCUGGUGAUCCUACUGAGAUCGGACUUGCAAACGAUGCCCGGUGUUUCGCAAUGGAAUUUAUUGGACAGAUGCUGAUCAUCGUCAAGGGACAACAAUUCUUCCAGAUUUUAAGAGUCAAAACCGAGAGCGGCGAGCUUUUGCAUGUGGAGAGCAUCUGCAACCAUGCCAUCUUCAUUGGUCAUCAUAGGAGCCUUGCUGUGGAUGCUCACAUGUUUCCAUCAAUAGAGGCAAACUGUAUCUACUACACUGAACACCAGGUUUCGUCUGCCCACAUCUGGAAGUACAACAUCAAGGACCGAAAAGCAGAAAGGAUCUCAGAAGCCGUCGAUUUUGUGAAGCCGGACAAGCAGUUUGUCCUGCUCGGCGACCGUCCUUCCACGCUCAUCCAGCUUCUGUCGAGCUACACCAUCAGCACCCGGGAUUCUGAACUGGCUGGUGCAGUUAAACUUGAUGAUUGA